GACCUGAUAGCACAGUUGGUUAGUGUAUCUGCUGAAAAUGAACAAUAUUAAGCAGAAGAUCCGGUUCGAUUCGGGGUUGGGUCA